GUCUGACCUAUUAUUCUAUAUGCAGCAAAACUAUUAAUUAAAUAUGAGGGUAAAAUAAACACAUUUUAACAUAUGCAAGCCCUCAAAACAUGUAUCUCCCAAAUAUCCUUUCUCAGAAAGCUACUAGAGGAAGCACUCCACAAAAAUAAGAGUAAACCAAGAAAGAAGAGGCAUGGGAACAUGGGAAAUCCCACAAACAGAGAGACAAAGAGCAUCCCUGGGAUGACAAAGGGAGGUCUCAAAAUGACCAGACAGAGGGAACAUAGUCCAGACAGAAGCACCGUCAUCCACGGAUGUCCUGGGAGGUCAUGAGCAAGAUCCACACUGCCAUUUUUUAAAACCAAAGGUCACAUGUCCAAUGGAGCUCAUUGACUAUCUUGUCUAUGUACUGAGAAGGUUUCUUUUUUCUCCUCUAUGACCUACUACUUGGAUCAGCUGAGAAUCCUCAUUUCACCCCCAGAGAAAUGUUCUUCUUUGACCUACUCUUGGGAGCUGGAGGCAGAUUAUGGUAAGUUUGGACCCAGGAAGAUCUGGGUAGCCUACUUGCCUGACCACAUCACUGCUGAAUCCAGACCCUGCUCCACAAAUGGAUGCCUCAGUGAUGUGCUCCCAUGUUUCCAGGUUUCAACAACAGCCUUGCCCCUGACCUUUUCAGAAGGGAUGCUCUUACACAUCCAGGGAAUCUAAACCCAGAGAUUCAGUUGAACUUAUCCCAGGAACCUACCGGCAAUUAACUCAUUUUAUUGCAGUUAAGUUUGUAUUUGCUAUUCAGUCAAAACUGAGCAAUGUAUCCUUUGAGGAUACAAACAAGUUGGAAAUCUAUAAAGAAAGGCAAAGGAAUUACUAACACAAAGGUUUGGAGAGGAAUUUCCUUGGGGUGGAGGCUCGGGGCUGUCAUAGAGAAGACGAUCAAAGGGCGCUUCUAAGCUACUGACAUGAUUCUUCUGAGCCUGAGAUAAGUGUAUGCGGGAAUUAAUUUUAUUCUUCUUCUGCUCUUACAUAAACAUUUUCUAUUCUAUUAUGCAUGAUACAUUUCACAAAACAAAAUUAUUCUUUUAAUUUAAAAAACAGUCAUGGCCAGGCACGGUGGCUGACGCCGUAAUCCCAAGAUUUUGGGAGGCCGAGGCAGGUGGAUCACUUGAG
rnacentral:lncRNA from 10 species